GACGAACGCUGGCGGCGUGCUUAACACAUGCAAGUCGAACGGAGUGGCGAACGGGUGAGUAACACGUGGGUGACCUGCCCUGAAAUUCGGGAUAAGCCUGGGAAACUGGGUCUAAUACCGGUUAGUGUGGGAUGGGCCCGCGGCCUAUCAGCUUGUUGGUGGGGUAAUGGCCUACCAAGGCGGCGCCGGGUAGCCUGCCUGAGAGGGUGGACGGCCACAUUGGGACUGAGAUACGGCGCAGACUCCGACGGGAGGCAGCAGUGGGGAAUAUUGCACAAUGGGGGGAAGCCUGAUGCAGCAACGCCGGGUGGGGGAUGACGGCCUUCGGGUUGUAAACACCUUUCACCAUCGACGCGGUAGAGGGAGAAGAAGCACCGGCUAACUACGUGCCAGCAGCCGCGGUAAUAC
rnacentral:rRNA from 1 species